CGGCACGGGUGCGUAACGCGUAUGCAACUUGCCUCACAGAGGGGGAUAACCCGUCGAAAGACGGACUAAUACCGCGUACACUCUAUGUUGGGCAUCCAAUGUAGAGGAAAUGAAAUUCGCUGUGAGAUAGGCAUGCGUCCCAUUAGCUAGUUGGUGAGGUAACGGCUCACCAAGGCGACGAUGGGUAGGGGAACUGAGAGGUUGAGCCCCCACACUGGUACUGAGACACGGACCAG
rnacentral:rRNA from 1 species